UUGGCCACUGCUGCGCAUGCGCAAAUGCCCUCUGCGAGGCAUUUACCCGGCUGCAGCAGUGAUGAGGGAGGCCGGUGGGGGGAGAGGGAACCCUCGCGGAUACCCCCUCCCCCGCGGCUACAGCAAGCCACCUGAAGGGGCUACAGUAUUUUUCACAGGUAUCAAGUCUUUCAAUCUCCAAUAUCCCUUUCCACAGCUAUUUGGAUAUUGACACAGAUUCCAGAAGACUCCAGGCUAAUCCUAGAGGGUCGGAAACCUACCUCAGUGCCCUAGAAAAUCAACCAACCAACUAACCAACCAAACAAUAUAUUUAUUUCGGUCUUUGACCAGCAUAAGAGGCUUAGCACAGACUCAAAAGCCUGAAACUUUGGUCAAGCUGAAUGGUGAAGUUGGCUAUCAGGAAUCCCUGGGCUUGAGCCACCGAGCUUGGAGUACAAAUCUAAGGCCAAACCUUCUAAAAUACUAUGAAAUGCUCUUGGACUGGCAGCAGAGCCCUCUUUAGACCCAGAAACAAACAGGUGUGUACAACAUUUAUCUAUCAAAUUUGUUCACUGCCCCAAACAUUUGUCUCUGGGUGGUUUACUGUAAUUGCAUUAGCCCCUACAAUGAGUAUGAAGCCUCUGGAUUCUUAGGAGCCUGUUUUUCUGGUUUUGCCUGAACACCACACCAGUUGUUUCUGCUUACCAAACAUCUGGGCCCAGUUUCUCCAGCAAAAGCCCCUGGCUUCAGAGACCCUGAGCUGGAAGGCCUAGAUUUGGAUAUAGCCAUCCACAGCCUUGGCUUAGUCCUGACAACCUGGGCCUUAUAAAUAUGUCUUACUGUCUCUGGGAUAUGCAUACUAUCAAAUCAAGCAUACAGGACAAGCUUUCCUUAAUUCAGAACACCCUCAGCUCCAGAAAAUGGAACUAGACACCUCCUAGAAGAUGUGCAUUAUUUUCUGAAACAGCUUUGAUGCAUUGCUCAGGCCAAGUCUACUACCACGGCAGCAAGAAGGAGAUGGUCGUCUGCUGAGGUGGAAGAGUGGAUUGCACCAUUGCACACUAGAAGGGGAGGGAGGCAUAUCACUUUUGAAUGCUCCCCCGCCACCACCCAAACACAGAAAACACCACUCCCUGAAGGUACAACUAGUACAAACUACAACAACUUGUAAGACUUAUUUUAAUUCUUACGAUUUCAAAGUAACUGAAGUAAAUUACUUUACUUCAGGUAUCACCUGUAUAUUUAACCUCUUUUUUUUAAAAAAAGGGGGGUCAUCUUAAAUUGAGAGUCAUCUUCUAUUCAGGUAAAUAUGGCACUUUGUAAGAACCAUAUUCGCCCAAAUAGAAGAUGACCCUGAAUUUAAGAUGACCCCCUUAACAUAGAGGUUAUUUUUGUAUUUACCCAAAAGGAACAGCACUCAGAAUGAAGCAUUGGUUACUCA